GGGGAAUCUUCCGCAAUGGGCGAAAGCCUGACGGAGCAACGCCGCGUGAGGGAAGAAGGCCUUCGGGUUGUAAACCUCUGUUUUUAGGGACGAAAAGAUGACGGUACCUAAAGAGUAAGCUCCGGCUAACUACGUGCCAGCAGCCGCGGUAAUACGUAGGGAGCAAGCGUUGUCCGGAAUUACUGGGCGUAAAGGGCGCGUAGGUGGUCCAUUAAGUUAUAGGUGAAAGUUCGGGGCUUAACCCCGUGACUGCCUGUGAUACUGGUGGACUUGAGUGCAGGAGAGGGGAGUAGAAUUCCCAGUGUAGCGGUGAAAUGCGUAGAUAUUGGGAGGAAUACCAGUGGCGAAGGCGGCUCUCUGGACUGUAACUGACACUGAGGCGCGAAAGCGUGGGGAGCAAAC
rnacentral:rRNA from 1 species